rnacentral:rRNA from 1 species
CCUACGGGUGGCAGCAGUGAGGAAUAUUGGUCAAUGGACGCAAGUCUGAACCAGCCAUGCAGCGUGCAGGAAGACGGCUCUAUGAGUUGUAAACUGCUUUUGUACGAGGGUAAACUCAGAUACGCGUAUCUGUCUGAAAGUACCGUAUGAAUAAGGAUCGGCUAACUCCGUGCCAGCAGCCGCGGUAAUACGGAGGAUUCAAGCGUUAUCCGGAUUUAUUGGGUUUAAAGGGUGCGUAGGUGGGCUGUUAAGUUAGAUGUGAAAUCCCGAGGCUCAACUUCGGAAUUGCAUUUGAUACUGUUCGGCUAGAGAGUAGUUGCGGUAGGCGGAAUGUAUGGUGUAGCGGUGAAAUGCUUAGAGAUCAUACAGAACACCGAUUGCGAAGGCAGCUUACCAAGCUACUUCUGACGUUGAGGCACGAAAGCGUGGGGAGCAAACAGGAUUAGAUACCCUGGUAGUC